AUGAGUUUUCCUUCAGCCUUUAGUUUCUGUUCCACUACGGAGAAGUCGCGGGCCCCCAGAACACGGAGCAGUGAGCGGCGCUGGCAGCCCCAGGGCUGCAGCGGGGGCACCGCAAGAGCUUCUCGCCUCCUUCCCUCCCACGCAGGACUUCAACGCGAGCCCGCGCGCAGCUUAAUCAAUCGCAAGAGCCCAAGCCGUAGAGCAAGUCCAGUCCCGGGGAGUCUGGCUCAGGCUUUGCUGGCGCCGCCGGAGAGGCUGGCAGGCGGCGGGCCGAGCUCGGGCGGGCUCAGCCCACAGACCGGGGCGCGCCCGCUGCGCUCGCGGAGUCCGAGCCUGGCGCGCCGCGGGAGGCCGGCGCGCUCCCACCGUCCGCAGCCGCCGGUGCCCCCAGGCUUGUCUCGCCCCGGCCUCCGCGGGCAGACCCACAGCCGCUCUCCGCCCCCGGCGCCGGGCGCGCAUCGCCCUCCAAUCCCCGCUUACAUAAGGCGGGCGGGCGCGCUCCCGCCGCCGCUCAGCCCCCAGCGGAGUUGGGCUGCGCCCUCCACGCCUCCUCGGCGAGCGCCCCCGCGCCCCCGUGCGCCCCGGCGCUCCGAGGUGACCCUCCCCGGCAGCCCAGCCGCGGGCGUGAGCACCCUGAGGCUGGAGACCGGAAAGCUCCGCGGCGCCCGACUCCCUCCCUCCGCUCCCACCUCCUCCCACUUCUCGCUUCCUCUCCCUCCGCCGCCUCCCCCGCCCCCCCUCGCCUGUGCGUUCGGCACUGGAGAGGGGACCCGGAGAGCAGUCCGGGCUCGGCGCGCGGCGGAGCUGCGGCUGUUCCUGCUGCUGGGGGAGCGGCGAGGGGGCCGCCUGGCGCCUCCCGGACUUCCCAAGUGGGGGCAGAGCAGCCGCUCCCCGAGCCGCCAGUUAGAGGGCACGGCCCGGAGGGACCGCCAAACUCCUCCUCGGCGUCUCCUCUCCACCCCCUUUGGCUCCUGCCCUUGGAGAAAGUGGAGUGCGGCUCUCGGUCAUCAUUAUUUCUUCGGGCUGCUUCGUGGGUGCACGGAUUCAGCUGCUGCCCGGUGGGGCUCUCCGCUCGUGGCGCGUCUCCCCGAGUGGUUCCGCCCGGCACACCGCUGUCGACGAUGA
rnacentral:lncRNA from 1 species